UGUGGAAGAAUGAAUGAACGAACAAAUGGUCAUUGGUAUAAGUACAAUUACUCCCUUUUAUUGAUACAAGGAAGGUUUAUUUGUCACAUACAUAGAAAUACUUACGUAAAGCAUGUAGUGAAAUUUUGUUUGGUGUUAAGCUUUUUCUGUGCGAGUGUGAAGAAAGAAAGAUCAUAAAAUAUUAGUCAUAAAUAGCAAAAGGAAGUAUAAAGUGCAGUGUGUGUACAGUCCAUGUGCAAGUGUUAAAAAAAGUGUAAUUGCUGUUUAUAUAGUCAUUGUGUGUGUUCAGGAUACGGAAUGCUUGAGGAAAGAAGCUCCUCCUCAGUCUCUCUGUUCUGGUCUUGUAGCAGCAGAGACGUUUGCCUGACCUCAGUGUUUUGAAAUGUCCAUGGUCAGGAUGUUAGGAGUCCUUUACAAUACUUUGGGCGCUGGUACGUAGUCUUCUCUUGUAGGUCUCCUGCAGAAUAGGGAGAGGUGCUCUGAUGGUGUGGCACUGCAGUCACGGGCUGUACAGUUCCCAUACCAAGUGAUGAUGCUGUCAGGACACACAGCUGAUGCUCUGAACUUCCUCAGCUGACGUCGGAAGUACAGUCUUUGCCUUGAUUUCUUCAGUGUGUGCUGGGCGUUCACAGUCCAUGUUAGAUCGUCAGUAAGGUGUUUUCCCAGGUAUGUCAAACUUGAUCUAAAUGACUUAACAUAAGCAUAACAUUAUCGUAUCAUUGUUCUUAUUGGACGCGGCUAUGUAUACAGCACUAUUUAUAAUCCAUUUAGCCCACUUUUGAGGAUGUUCAGGUGUUUUCCUCUUUAUCGGUAACGUUGAAUCUAACCACGGAAGCCGCCAUCUUGCCAUUCUGUUGACAAAAAGCAGCUACCUCAUUGGUGUAGAACGAUCACGUGUUGAAAAGUGCCAGCACUCGCGACCAAGAUCCUAUUAUGCUCUGAAGAAACUAGUUCGGGAUAAAACAUAGACGCACCAAAAAUUGACUCGAAAGUGAACGACAAACUUUUUUUGGUAGCUAAGUACGACUCGUUCUUUUUUAUGAGCUAAAGAUUGUGUAGAUGCGCGACUGUGGAGCGGGAUUCAUUUUCUAAAGGACUUUUCGUGCUUCACAUUGCGGCCUAAAUGUACAAUCAUAAAACAUACUACAAUGGACCCGGAAGAGACGCUGCUCGGAGGCUCAUCUGGAACCUCCUUACCUAGGUCAACUCCACCACCUUCUACUCCACUGUAUGCUACCUCCUCAGAACGAGGACCCAGCAAACAAGGCAAAUGAGAGACGUCGAUGUGCUGGUAAACCAGAUGCAAGUCAUGACUCAACAAUGGAAGGAGGACAUGGACACGGUUGAUCGCCAGCAUCCUCCGCACUGACAGUAUGGUUGAGAAGCUGAUGCAGAGAAUGGAUAACAUUCAACCUCAACCAAACACAUUGUCACCACCACCACAACAUCAACCACCACAUGAUGCGUAUUAUGGUUAUGGAUGCCUUACUUAUUUGCACUACCGCCUGAAAAGCACCUUACCGUUCAUACAGCACAAUUUCUACACUCUACCUCAGUGUGUAUAUAUAUAUACAUACA